rnacentral:misc_RNA from 2 species
AACGCACAUUGCGCCCCUUGGUAUUCCAUGGGGCAUGCCUGUUCGAGCGUCAUUUACACCCUCAAGCUUUGCUUGGUGAUGGGCGUCUGUCCCGCGGUUCCGCGUGGACUCGCCCCAAAGGUAUUGGCAGCGGUCAUGCCAGCUUCUCGCGCAGCACAUUGCGCUUCUCGAAGUUCUGGAGGAUCAGCGUCCAUCAAGCGUAACUUUAUAACUUGACCUCGGAUCAGGUAGGGAUACCCGCUGAACUUAA